AGCUGGACGUGACAACAUUACCAUGAAUUUCCACGGCUAUUUAUUUAUAGGGCCCCCCUUUCCAUCGCUUAUACCGAUUUCAUUCCAUAUUCUGAUCUCACAGAAGAAAACUAGACACUCUCGAUCGUAAUCAGGUAACGGAAGUGACAAUGGCGACCAUCAAAGUUCCGGAGCAUGUUCCUUCUCCUGCCGAAGACUGUGAGCAGCUUCGCAAAGCUUUCCAAGGAUGGGGAACGAACGAGGACUUGAUAAUAUCCAUUUUGGCUCACAGAAAUGCAGCUCAGAGAUGUUUAAUUCGGAAAACCUACGCUGAAAUAUAUGGUGAAGAUCUUCUUAAAGAACUAGACAAAGAACUUUCGAGUGAUUUUGAGCGGAUUGUACUUUUGUGGACAUUGCAACCUGCAGAACGUGAUGCAUUUAUGGCCAAUGAAGCAACAAAGAGGUCAACCUCAAACAAUUUGGUCAUUGUGGAAAUAGCUUGUACUCGACCAUUGCUCGAACUAUUCAAGGUGAGGCAGGCCUAUCAUGCCCGUUUCAAGAAAUCUCUUGAAGAAGAUGUUGCAUAUCAUACAUCUGGAGAUAUCCGCAAGCUUUUGGUCCCUCUCGUUAGCUCACUUCGGUACGAGGGAGAUGAGGUGAACAAAACCUUAGCGAAAUCAGAGGCUAAAGUACUCCAUGAGAAGAUAGCAGGGAAGGAAUACAACCAUGAGGAACUCAUUAGAAUUCUGACGACUAGGAGCAAAGCACAAUUACUUGCAACAGUUAACCUCUACAACAACGAGUACGGUAAUCCCAUCAAUAAGGAUUUGAAGGCCGACCCCAAUGACGAGUACCUGAAGUUACUGAGAACAACCAUCAAGUGUUUGACCUUUCCAGAAAGACAUUUCGCAAAAGUCCUUCGGUUGGCCAUUGACAAGAUGGGGACAGAUGAGUGGGCUCUUGCUAGAGUGAUUUCUUCUCGAGCUGAAACCGAUUUGGAGCGCAUCAAAGAAGAAUACUAUCGCAGGAACAGCAUUCCUCUGGAUCGUGCCAUUGCCAAAGACACUUCUGGGGACUUCGAGAAAAUGGCUCUGGAGUUGAUUGGACAUGGUGAUGCCUGAGUUCCUCUUGUUCAGGAAAGUUACUUUGCUUUGUUUAUCUGUUUGUUUGCUUGAACUUCGAACAUGGAGAACCAAAUGCUUUGCUUUUUACACAGUGGGAUCUGCCCGUGAGAAAGCUACAUAACUGAUUCUUUGUCGUUUCUGGAGAAGACAAAAUGAUCAAAGGUGAGGUGAAAUUCCAUUUUCACCUUCACUAAUGAUAACAUUAACUUGAAAAUUGGUAUGAAGAUACAUAACUGACCGAUAAACGCACUCAACUUGUCGGAGCCCCCUUUGAAACAGUAGACCCUGACUUUCACUUUUUCCUCAAAACGUUGUUUUUGUUUGAAUUCAUUUUUCCUUUUUCACUUUUGUCUUUAAAACUUUGUUUUUACAUUUAUCAUUAUUUUUCUAGUUCAACAAAUGUAAUAUGAAACUAGGAGAUCGUCUUUAACCUUGUAAAGUAAUAAAUUUCUCAAC